rnacentral:rRNA from 1 species
GACGAACGCUGGCGGCGUGCCUAAUACAUGCCAGUUGAGCGCUGAAGGUUGGUACCUGUACCAACUGGAUGAGCAGCGAACGGGUGAGUAACGCGUGGGGAAUCUGCCUUUGAGCGGGGGACAACAUUUGGAAACGAAUGCUAAUACCGCAUAAAAACUUUAAACACAAGUUUUAAGUUUGAAAGAUGCAAUUGCAUCACUCAAAGAUGAUCCCGCGUUGUAUUAGCUAGUUGGUGAGGUAAAGGCUCACCAAGGCGAUGAUACAUAGCCGACCUGAGAGGGUGAUCGGCCACAUUGGGACUGAGACACGGGCCAAACUCCUACGGGAGGCAGCAGUAGGGAAUCUUCGGCAAUGGACGAAAGGCUGACCGAGCAACGCCGCGGGAGUGAAGAAGGGUUUCGGAUCGUAAAACUCUGUUGGUAGAGAAGAACGUUGGUGAGAGUGGAAAGCUCAUCAAGUGACGGUAACUACACAGAAAGGGACGGCUAACUACGUG